rnacentral:lncRNA from 7 species
AUGCUAAUAGCCAUGCUCUUACUGUAUAUGCCUCACUUGGUCAUCCUUCCCUGUUCACCAUUUGUCUCAAUACCUCAGAAAUGCAGAAACAUCACAUGAAAAAAUUGCCUUCAGUCUCUGUAGGGCGGCAAUGUAAGAAUCAGCAUGCAAACCCAGCAGACACAGGCAUGCUGUGCAGGUGACACUAUCUGUCCUAAGGGAAAGAGUGUGUUUGUGUGUGAAAACACAGGAAGAGUUAUUUACUGAGUCACGCUGCAAUCUGCUGAGUACAUCAGGCUGGUGUGCCGGGUUGGUUAAAUUAUUCUCAUGAUAAAGGUAACAACAGAAAAACAGCCAGAAAAAUAAGGGAUGAGGAGUGGGAGAACAAAUGUCUGGCUGUUGCCACAGAAUAAGUGAUCUUCAGAUGGAGUUAACAACUGUUACUGGUGUUGAAGAAAGAGACUGGGAGUGAGGGCAAGAAUGCAGAGGACCUGCAGGGGUGACAGGAUAGAAGGAUGUGAAAACAGCUCAACAGCAGACUAAGAAGACAUGAGCUGUUCUGUGCUCACAGGAAAAUCAUUGGGAUUCUUGCCAUGAAUGCAGAACUGAGUUGCUUUCAGCAUUUCAGUACCCAUCACUAUAUUAUCUAGGCGCCACCACAAGAUUAAGGAGCUCAACAUGAUCUGCUCAGGGGUCAUUAGCAGAGCCUUUCAUACUGGAGAAGGUCGGAGGAGAGUAAGGAAGUGCACAACAGAAGGAAAGAAAAAGGAAAAGGAGGUGCAGCAACACUGCCCCAAUUCCGGAAGCAGUUGAAGGACAGGAAUUAGCUCAUUCAUGCCUGACAGAGCUCUAGCUCCAAAACUGGAUUAUUAUUCAAACAAAUAUAAAUACCUUUAGUACAUCUUAUCUUUCAAUCUCCUCUACCUCAGCCCUCAUAAACUGAAUUUUUGUUGGAAGCUCUGUCAUUUAGAAAGAAAGAAAGAAAUGUGUCUGAGGACAUCUCCAGUCCUCCAGCAAUUCCACCCUCGGCAGCACUCAGCUCUGACUGGGAACGCUGCUCGUAAGUGUGGGUAACAUUACAUGGCCUACAGCACAGCACGAAAAUGGGAUCUAACGAUGUGGAUAAGUUUCGUAACUAGAAGAAUAGUAGAAUAAACAGCCACAGGAGGCUGGAGAAAUCAGCGUCACAAGGGACAGCCAAGACAAGAUCUAACGUCUAUCUUGCCUGCGAGAAUUUGAGUCAUGCAGGAGCUUGCUCACCCAAGAAAAUCUAUUCAUAGGGUCUCAUAAAACCAACUUAACUGCAGUGCACAAAUUAAAAAGCAAACAGUGGAAAUCCGUAUCGGUUCUCUUGCUUCCCUGCUCACUGCUGCAUAGCUCCAUAGGAGCGCUAUGGGAGCAGAGCACAGCAGAUCUCCCUGAGAGCUCUGGGAGUUCUACCUGCUGAGGAAAGAUAGGAUCUCAAGUGUCAAAAAUGCACAGCAGCUCUUUCAGUAGGAAACAUGCUUUGCUAAAAGGAACACUGGAAAUAAGUGACAGAUUCAGGGUUUGUCCUGGAAUCCUGCCCUGCCUGCAGCAAAUUCAAAUCCACUCUCUUGGUACAGAAAAGCUCCUCUGGAUUCAGCUCAGCACAGACGAUUAAAGAGUUCCUAUUCUGGAGCACCAGGAAUCUGGAUUUUAAAACAUAGCGCUUAAAGUUGGCCUAACAGGAAAAUGGAACGUGCUGAGUAAGACCCAGUCCUUCUCUCAGCUCCCUGCACAUAACCAGCCUGGGACUGUGAGCUGCUUGAAGAGCUCUGGCAGCCGCACACAGAGCAUGGGAGCAGCACAGCUUUCCAACAGCAGGCAGAACAAAGCUCCAGCCCAAUCUAUAGCCCAACAGAGCCUGCCCCAUCCCCACUCAUCUGCUGCUUUCCCCCAGCUAACAGACACACAGAAACAAACACCUCUCAACAGAGAAGCUCUAGCUACAGGUUUGAGAAGAACAUCUCAAGAGGAAAGGCAAGGGGUUGUUGGUGUGCCUCUCACCUGGCGGCUUUCGCGAGGCUUCUGAGCAGUGACCACAUUACCGUCAUCCAACAGAAGGGCUACUUUCUCAUGUUUAUUCCUGUAAACUACAAACAUAAGACACGCUGAAUCAUAAUUCAGAGAACAGAAACUCCUUGAAGAAAAAGAAAAAAGAAUUAAGUGAAAGCUUCCUCCCUCACUUUUUCUUCCUCCCUCCCACUUCAGCCUUGCAGUUACUUCACCAGAUCGUCAUGGUUUGGACAGCACACCUUGCUCUGCAUGUUGGGAACAGCAAGAAGUGCAAAAAAAAAUAAACCAUCACCCCAAAGAAACACCUCUUCCCAGACAAUACCCGAGUGGCAGCUCAAGCAAGUGAUUAGAGGAACCAAAAUGAGACAAUGAGGACUGGCUGAAGCCUCCAGCUCUGCUCUUGGCUGGGUUUCUCUUGGGGUUUUUGUUUUUGUUUUUCUCUGAGUCGCAGAGAAAGCCAAAAGACCAAUGUGAGUCCUUAUCCCUGUUGGCAGCACCAAGCCAGAUCCACUGGAAUGUCAGCCCUGCAUUUCAUCUGACUCAAAAUGUACCCUCAAAAUAAAACAAGCUACUUUU